AUAAAAAUUCAAACAGGAGUGUACUGUGUAGAGUAUAAUGCAAAGGUCCGGCGGCAAGGCCAAGGGAAGAGAGCGGUUGACAAAUUCGCAGAGCAUUGUUGUUAAUUUGAUUCUCGCGCUCUCUUCUGUAUUACUUAUACAGAUUUUGAUAUUGAAUUCGAUUGAACAUACACUAACACAUACUCAUCUCAAAACAAAAACAAAUAAACCCUAUAGUGGAAAUAAGGAGAAGAAUUAGCAAGAAAAAUGAUGGAAUUCCUGGACCUGGAAUCGCAGGACGGAGUGAGAAUGCCGUGGAACGUGCUUCCGGGCACCAAGCAAGAGGCCAGCAACUGUGUGGUACCCGUCUCAGCCAUUUACACUCCGAUCAAGCACUUCGCCAACAUGCCGGUCCUCCCCUACUCUCCCCUGCGUUGCCGCACCUGCCGCUCCGUGCUUAACCCAUUUUCGAUCGUGGAUUUCGCGGCUAAGAUCUGGAUCUGCCCCUUCUGCUUCCAACGCAAUCACUUCCCGCCUCACUACGCCUCCAUCAGCGACGACAACCUUCCUGCGGAGCUCUUCCCGCAAUACACCACCAUCGAAUACGAGACUCCAGCAGAGAAGUGCUCGUCCUCGUCGGUUUUUAUGUUCGUAGUGGACACUUGCAUCAUCGAGGAGGAGAUGGCCUUCCUCAAGUCAGCCUUGUCCCAGGCCAUCGACCUCCUUCCGGACAAUUCCCUCGUUGGCCUCAUCACUUUUGGGACCUUGGUCCACGUUCACGAGCUAGGCUUCGGCCAGAUCCCCAAAACCUACGUCUUCAAGGGCUCCAAGGACGUGUCCAAGGACCAGCUUCUCGAUCAGAUGGGUUUUUUUCUCAAGAAGCCCAAGCCUCCCACUGGUGUUAUUGCGGGCGCUAGGGAUGGCCUCUCUUCCGAGAGUAUUUCCCGCUUCCUAUUGCCCGCCUCUGAGUGUGAAUUUACUCUCAAUUCGGUGUUGGAAGAGCUGCAGAAAGAUCCUUGGCCUGUUCCGCCUGAUGAGCGGGCUGCCAGGUGUACUGGCACGGCUCUUUGUGUGGCGGCCAGCUUAUUAGGAGCUUGUGUUCCUGGGUCUGGAGCUCGAAUUAUGGCAUUCAUUGGUGGUCCAUCCACUCAAGGACUAGGUGCUAUCGUGUCAAAGAAUCUCUCUGAACCAAUUCGUUCUCACAAGGACCUGGAUAAAGAUUCUGCUCCCCUUUAUCAUAAAGCUGUGAAGUUCUACGAAGGACUUGCAAAGCAGCUUGUGCAUCAAGGCCACGUACUUGAUCUGUUUGCAUGUGCUCUUGACCAGGUGGGGGUUGCUGAACUUAAAGUUGCAGUUGAAAAAACUGGUGGGCUUGUUGUUCUUGCAGAAAGCUUUGGCCAUUCAGUUUUUAAGGACUCACUUAGACGUAUUUUCCAAUUUGAUGACUAUGACCUUGGACUAUCAUCAAAUGGUAUAUUUGAGAUAAACAGCUCAAAGGAUAUCAAAGUUCAAGGCAUUAUUGGCCCCUGUGCAUCGCUUGAAAAGAAAGGUCCUUUGUGCUCCGAUACUGUCAUCGGUCAGGGUAAUACCAGUGCUUGGAAGAUGUGUGGACUAGACAAAGCUACAACUUUAUGUAUAAUAUUUGAAAUUGUGAAGAAGGACAGUCCAGAUGCUUCUGUUCAACCAUCAAGCAAUCAAUUUUACUUCCAAUUUUUGACUUAUUAUCAGCACAGCAGUGGUCAAAUGAGACUCCGCGUUACAACCCUUUCUAGAAGAUGGGUUGCUGGACCUGGAAGCAUACAGGAUUUGAUUGCUGGAUUUGACCAAGAAGCAGCUGCUGUAGCCAUGGCACGCCUAGUCUCUUUCAAAAUGGAAAUUGAGGCUGAGUUUGACCCGAUAAGAUGGCUAGAUAAAGCUUUAAUACAUAUAUGUUCACAAUUUGGAGAUUACCAGAAGGACAGCCCAUCUUCUUUCAGCUUGUCUCCUCGGCUUUCGAUAUUCCCUCAGUUCAUGUUUCAUUUACGACGUUCCCAAUUUGUUCAGGUCUUCAACAACAGCCCGGAUGAGACGGCAUACUUCAGGAUCAUACUGAACAGGGAAAAUGUGGCCAAUUCUGUUGUGAUGAUACAACCUUCACUGAUAUCUUACUCAUUUCAUUCAGGGCCAGAACCAGCUCUUCUUGAUGUGGCUGCCAUUGCAGCUGAUAGGAUCCUGCUUUUGGACUCUUAUUUUACUGUUGUUAUUUUUCAUGGUGCAACUAUUGCUCAGUGGCGAAAAGCUGGCUACCAUAAUCAACCAGAACAUCAGAUUUAAUCAUAGAAGGCAUUGUCCUCUAAGAUGGAGACAAUCUUACCAGUCAGUGCACAAGAAGGUCACCUGCAUGUGAGAUGAAACAUUAACUGAUUAUCAAUGGCCAUAAAGAGUCUUUAGAAUUUGCUUUUGGGUCUAUCAUCUUUCAUUUUUUUUUUGGGUUAAAUCUGUUAUCUUUCUUUUUUGUAGUCAAAUGCCUCCAGCUCCAAUUCUGACAUAAGUUGUUGCCUUAAUGCUCGGUUCUAAUUUGCUUUUGCUUUUGCUUUUGCUCUUGCAGGCAUUUGCCCAAUUGCUGCAAGCGCCCCGUGAUGAUGUGGAUGCGAUAAUCAAGGAAAGGUUUCCUGUUCCUCGUUUAGUCAUUUGUGAUCAACAUGGUUCACAGGCUCGUUUUCUUCUGGCAAAGUUGAAUCCGUCUGCUACAUACAAUACUGAUUC